AGUAACGCUGGCGGUAGGCCUAACACAUGCAAGUCGAACGGCAGCACAGUAAGAGCUUGCUCUUACGGGUGGCGAGUGGCGGACGGGUGAGGAAUACAUCGGAAUCUACUUUUUCGUGGGGGAUAACGUAGGGAAACUUACGCUAAUACCGCAUACGACCUACGGGUGAAAGCAGGGGAUCUUCGGACCUUGCGCGAUUGAAUGAGCCGAUGUCGGAUUAGCUAGUUGGCGGGGUAAAGGCCCACCAAGGCGACGAUCCGUAGCUGGUCUGAGAGGAUGAUCAGCCACACUGGAACUGAGACACGGUCCAGACUCCUACGGGAGGCAGCAGUGGGGAAUAUUGGACAAUGGGCGCAAGCCUGAUCCAGCCAUACCGCGUGGGUGAAGAAGGCCUUCGGGUUGUAAAGCCCUUUUGUUGGGAAAGAAAAGCAGCAGGUUAAUACCCCGCUGUUCUGACGGUACCCAAAGAAUAAGCACCGGCUAACUUCGUG
rnacentral:rRNA from 1 species